ensembl:lncRNA
UGCAGAUUCAUGUGAAACAACGUGGUUUGCGCUCAUAAGAAGUUACUUGUAAAACGUUGAACCUGUCGACUUCCAGAAUACCAACAGGCUCAUGUUGUUCGCUUUCAUAGUGACAAGUCGAGCUAACUUGUUGUACUAACAACCAUCAACACAAACAUGCACAACAGUUCACAAGUUGUCAGGAAGUUGGUUGAGCCAGCUACCUAGUUAGCCACAACAUCACAUUUCUGAAAAGGUUCUAUAUGAGCAUGAUGGAGUUUUUAUACACACCAACCCAGAAAGGAGUGAGGAGCAGGACUCUCUGACUUCAGGAUCCCUGCGUGUCCUGGACCAGGAUGGAGACAUAGUGCUGGAAUAUAAACCCAUGGAAGAUGUUGACCACUCUGCCAUGCUGUGUGCUGCCAAGG